rnacentral:lncRNA from 9 species
GGUGCUAAAAUGAUCCAGUCAUGCAAUGUUCAUCUUAGGCACUCUGCAUCUCUAUGCCAAUCUUGCGGCUAAGGAUCUUGUUCCAGUCAGUCCUUGUGUGUGUAGCUGGCAACUCUUGACAUAAGGCUUUGAAAGUAGUGUCUGAUGUUGUCUCAUAAUUCUUAAUGAUGAUAGUCUGAUACUCAUUUUCUGCAGCCUCUACAAUCUUUAUAAAUUCUUUUGCUCUUUGCACCUCAUUAGAUGCUGUUAGGGAAUCUUGUAUAUCUUUAUGACUCACUAGCUGAACAUUAACUAUCUUCAUAAUAAUGAACCUGAAUUUUCAAGAUGCCAGCCACCUGAAUGGUUGAAGAAGUGAUUGUAGACUUCCACUCUGACCACCAAUGACCAUUCCAAAAUUUUUUUCUUGAAACUUAUGGCUUUUUAUGCAUGUAAUAAUGGUUUGCUGUUCAUGUAUUUUUUUUUUAACAUAUACAGUGCAAACUCAGUUUGAAUAAUGUUCUUUUAGAUAAGUUUGAAGAGCCGUUUCUACUGAAGUUCUCCAUGAUUCAUUUGCAUUGUCUGCUUCAAAGGGUCUUGCAUCAGUUGCUUGCUUCCUUUCUUUCUUUUGUUCGUUCAUUGGUUCUUUCGUUCUUUUUUUUUUUUUUUUUUUUUUUCCUUUUUAGAGCUGUGUCUUUGGCAUAUGGAAGUUCCCAGGCUAGGGGUUGAAUCGGAGCUGUAGCCACCGGCCUACACCAGAGCCACAGCACCUCGGGAUCCGAGCUGCGUCUGCAACCUACACCACAGCUCACGGCAACGCCAGAUCGUUAACCCACUGAGCAAGGGCAGGGACCGAACCCGCAACCUCAUGGUUCCUAGUCGGAUUCGUUAACCACUGCGCCACGACGGGAACUCCCAGUUGCUUCCUUUCUUAAGUGAUCAAAUUUGAAACAGAGUCUGUUUUUUGGAUCCAAAAACUUUGUUUCCUAAGUCACCAGGUUCAGUUAUCAAUACCUGAUCUUCAUACCCUUCAAUUUUUACUGGAGUAAACUAGUCCAAGUUAUACUGUGCAAAUGCACUAAAAAAAAAAAAAAAAAAAAAAAAAAAA